rnacentral:rRNA from 1 species
AGGUUACUGCUAUCGAGGUUCGACUAAGCCAUGCGAGUCGAAUGUAGCAAUACAUGGCGUACUGCUCAGUAACACGUGGAUAACCUACCCUUAGAACGGGGAUAAACCCGGGAAACUGGGUAUAAUACCCGAUAGAUCUCGGCUGCUGGAAUGCACCGAGCUCCAAAGCUCCGGCGUCUAAGGAUGGAUCUGCGGCCUAUCAGGUAGUAGUGGGUGUAGCGUACCUACUAGCCUACGACGGGUACGGGUUGUGAGAGCAAGAGCCCGGAGAUGGAUUCUGAGACACGAAUCCAGGCCCUACGGGGUGCAGCAGGCGCGAAAACUUUACAAUGCUGGCAACAGCGAUAAGGGGACCUCGAGUGCCAGGUUACAAAUCUGGCUGUCGUGAUGCCUAAAAAGCAUUGCAUAGCAAGGGCCGGGCAAGACCGGUGCCAGCCGCCGCGGUAACACCGGCGGCUCGAGUGGUAACCGUUAUUAUUGGGUCUAAAGGGUCUGUAGCCGGCCGGAUAAGUCUCUUGGGAAAUCUGGCAGCUUAACUGUCGGGCUUUCAGGAGAUACUGUUCGGCUCGAGGCCGGGAGAGGUGAGAGGUACUUCAGGGGUAGGGGUGAAAUCUUGUAAUCCUUGAAGGACCACCAGUGGCGAAGGCGUCUCACCAGAACGGACCUGACGGCAAGGGACGAAAGCUAGGGGCACGAACCGGAUUAGAUACCCGGGUAGUCCUAGCCGUAAACGAUACUCGCUAGGUGUCGGCCACGGUGCGACCGUUGUCGGUGCCGUAGGGAAGCCGUGAAGCGAGCCACCUGGGAAGUACGGCCGCAAGGCUGAAACUUAAAGGAAUUGGCGGGGG